rnacentral:rRNA from 1 species
ACCUGCUCUAUGAUAUUAAAUUAAAUGGCCGCGAUAUUUUGAUCGUGCAAAGGUAGCAUAAUCAUUUGUUUUUUAAUUAAGAACUGGAAUGAAGGGUUGAACGAGAAAAAAACUGUCUCAAUUUAAUUUAAUUAGAAUUUUAUAUUUAAGUUAAAAAGCUUAGAUUAUUUUAAAAGACGAGAAGACCCUAUAGAGUUUUAUAUUGAAAUAUUUUUAAGAGUAAUUUAGAAUUAUUUUUUUUUAUAAUUUUUUUAGUAUUUGGUUGGGGUGAUUGAAAAAUUUAUUUAACUUUUUAUUUAUUAAUUUCAUUAAUUUA